rnacentral:lncRNA from 1 species
CCAAGUCAAGGGCUUUCAGAGAGUACAAAUAGAGUUCCAACAGAGAGAGUUCAUCCAAAACUUCUAAUUCAAGGUAUGUGAGGUUUUGAACAAGGGUAAUUCUUUCACCUCGUGCCCAAAGGCUUAUUUAAACUACAAUUCUCUGCAACUUAUGACAUUUUACAUGAAAUUGAAUUGGGGGUUUUCACCCAUUGUUAUUGGUUGCAAGAUUUUGAUGUUUUCCUUGAACUGAGAGUCUAAUGGCAUGAUUUUUACAUGUUUUCUUGAGAAAUUGUAGCUAGGUCUAUACCCCAUGAUUUUAAUCCUAGAGAAAUUAAUAGUUGAAAUGUUUGAAACAUUGAAGUAUGUUGAGAUUUUGAGAUAAAUUGCUGAAAUUUCUAGAUUUCUAUAUGAGUUAUGAAUCUAUAUGCUAUCUAUUAUGCUUUUGAUGAGUUUUAACUUAGGGUUGAACUAUGGGUUAUUAAUCUCUACUUGAGACUUGAGAUUUUAUGAACUAUUGUGCUAUAAGCUCCCAUGAUUUGAGUAUUCUGAGAUUAUUGAGAAAUGUUUUGACCUAAUGGUCAUUAAGUUUUGAAAUCCACUCUACUAUAUCUGAUUACAGAUUUGAUUAUUGGGUUCUUAUUGAACCAUGAGAUUAUUCUAAAGUGGAUUUUCAUGAGAUGAGCGAGAUAAACUAAAGGGAGUAGUAUUUAGCACCGAGUGGGUAAAUUACUACGGUUUCUUACCCCAAAAUUACUUUCCACCGUAGGUUGAGCCUGAGGCCGAGUAUAUGAUUGUUAUUGGGCCUAAGGAUGAGUUGAUAUUAGGCCUGACGACGAGUUUAUUUAGUGAUCACUGGACCUAGGUUAUACUCCCUGGCAAGAGUAUGACGCCUCUCCCCAACUUGAGGUCUCUUCCUUAGAAGGACAAAACGUUGGACUCCAUGUAGCUCGCAUGGUUUAUGUCGAUUAAGAGAACCUCCCUUGACAUUUAAACUUCGAAAUCAGUUACCCUCAAAACUAAAGUAUUUUCCAUUGAGAUAAGAUAUUCUCCUUUAAAACUAAAAUACUUUCCCUUGAUAUGAGUAUUUUUCCCUAAAGCUUGAAAUGAGAUAUUUUCCUAACGUGAAUGAAAUGCCUUCAAGUAUGUUCCAAAGUUAUAUGAUUUCGAAUUCCAAGUAUUUGAGUUCAAAAGAGUUAUGAGUUCUUGAGCAUUGAAGAAGUUUUACUCUCUAUGAGAUAUAUGCAUGAGUUGAAAGUAUUGUUUAAAGUUUCCUUUAGCCUUGAGUAAUGAGAAUAAGACAAGAGUACAAAUUUCAAAUCUGAAAGUAUAAUGACUCACAAGAUUGUGUUACAUGUUCCAUUUUACAUGAUUCAUGAGCUUCACAUUCAUGGGGUUUUCACCCAUUGUUAUUGGUUGCAAGUUUUUUAUGUUUUCCUUGAAUUGAGAGUCUAAUGGCAUGAUUUUUAUAUGUUUUCUUGAAAAAUUACAGCAGGGUCUAUACCCCAUGAUUUUAAUCCUUGAGAAGCUAAUAGUUGAAAUGUUUGAAACAUUGAAGUAUGUGAGUAUGUUGAGAUAAAUUGCUGAAAUUUUCAGAUUUCUACAUGAGUUAUGAAUCUAUAUGCUAUCUAUUAUGCUUUUGAUGAGUUUUAACUUGGGAUUGAACUAUGGGUUACUAAUCCCUACUUGAGACUUGAGAUUUUAUGAACUAUUGUGCUAUAAGCACCCAUGAUUUGAGUAUUCUGAGAUUAUUGAGAAAUGUUUUGACCUAAUGGUCAUUAAGUUUUGAAAUCCACUCUACUAUAUCUGAUUACAGAUUUGAUUAUUGGGUAAUAAUUGAACCAUGAGAUUAUUCUAAAGUAGAUUUUCAUGAGAUGAGCGAGAUAAACUAAAGGGAGUAGUAUUUAGCACCGAGUGGGUAAAUUACUACGGUUUCUUACCCCAAAACUACUUUCCAUCGUAGGUUGAGCCUUAGGCCGAGUUUAUGUGUAACACCCCGUACUUAAUUACGUGCAUUAGUCAUUGUUAUAUGUGUUGGAGUAUAUGUAUUGAUCCUAAGUUAGGUAUAUAUGAGUUUAAGUAUGAGUAUUGAUUAUUUUGAGAUGGUUUCAAGUGUGUAGUUUGAUUAUAGGUGUAUAGGAAUCGACUUUAUUUAUAUCGGAAUUUUCCCGUCGAUGGUUCCAUACGAAGGUUAUUGAAUAAGCUUUCCAACGAUAUAAAGAUUUCCAAAAACGGAUAAGUUUCGGAUAUAAGCGAGCUCGUUCGAAACUUUAAAACGGUGGCCGGGAUGUGAACAGUAAAAUGUGCAGGAAACUACUGAGGCCUGCCAGUUUUUUGGGUCAACUUUGAACGAUCAUAACUCCCUCAAUAUAAUGAACUGGUUGAGCUACCAUAUAUCAAAAGAAAGAUCUUUGAGUCUUCUUUCCAAUGAAAUUGGUUUCAUCCAAAUCCAACAUCUGAGUAAGGAGUUAUACUCGUUUUACUUCAGCCUCUCAAAACAGAUUUUUAGGGUCAACUUCAAACGAUCAUAACUACUUGUACAGGACGAACUGGGUGGAUUAAUUUAUAUUAAAUGAAAGACCUUUGAAUUAUCUUUCUAACGAUACCAAUUUCACCCAAAUCCGAUAUCGGAGCAAAGAGUUAUGGCCGAUUUACUUUAGCCUAUCAAAACAGUCCACCAUGGACAGAUUCGGAUUUACUUAAAUUUUUAAGGGCAAUAUGGUCAUUUUCCAUCACCUCAUGGACGAAAAUUGGUCAUUAUAUACAUAUACUUAGCCUUAUAUCCACCAUUUAUCAUCCAAAUCAUUGAAGAAUAAGAAACCCUAGCCUAAGUUCAACUCCAAUUAUCUUGUGAUUCAACCGUAGAAAAUCCAAAUUGAUUCCGUAGUUGUGUUCACCGUCUCAAGGGCUUCGAGAAGCACCCCUUAUUUGUGCCAACAGGACUUCGAAAUCAAAAGGGCCAUUUUUUUUGGUAAGGAUGUAAAUUAUGUUGGUGUUAUUUAUAUGGAUAUGUAUAUAUAUAUAUAUAUGCAUGUGAGCAUAAGAAGUAUGUUAUUUGAUUGUUGUUGAAAGAUGAUUGGAAAUGAUGUUGGAUUAUUCUUGUGCAUGGUUGGAUUAUGUUAAAUUGUGAAGGAAUUUGGGGUGAUGAUGUGGUAUUGAUGAUGUGGUAUUGAGAUGAUGAUUAUAUACAUAUACACACAUAAACCUAUUGUUCAAGUUGGUUUUUGGAAUGUUUUGCAAAUAUUGGUAGUAUGGAAUUAUGGAAGAGAAUUGUGGUGUUGGGUUGCUAAUACUAGAUGCCAAACAUUUCAUUGUAGAUAAGUGAUUUGUAAAGGCGGGAAGUUGUGUUGAAUUGGUAUCUGAAUCUACAACGAGGUAUGUAAAGCAUACUCUAACAAUGUUCUUUGGCAUGAAAACACCAAUGUUCCAUCAAGUAAGAUUCCGAGGUUGUCCAAAAACAUGUAUUGUUCUACGUUACCAACGAAGUUGUUUCCAUCCUAUAAAGUGUCAAAAUGUUCAUUGAUAUACCAAAAGGCUCUUAUUUCAUUGUUGUGAUAUUGAUGAUUCUGAAACAUAUUGUUGAUGUACCAAUGAGUCCUUAUUACAUCGUUAUUGUAUAGAAGGUCUAUUACUUGGUUCCUAUUGAUGUAUCAUUGUUUCAAGGUAUCAAAAAUGUGGUGACGACCGAAAUAACAAUCUCAAAGAUUAAUUGAACUAAGUGAUGAAAGUUCUCUCUUAUCGGGUGGUAUCCCAGGGGCAUAAGCCUAGCAUGGGUCGAUCCCUAUUUCAUGUGUUUAUGGGUGGUAUCCCAGGGGCAUAAGCCUAGCAUGGGUCGAUCCCAGUUGAUAUGUACUGGAGGCAUCCUAAUGGUCACAGUACAGUACAGUAAUGAUUACAAAGACGAUAAGAACGAAGGUAAAGUGAUUGAAUAAAUACAAUGUACAGGUUGUCACAAGUUCUAGUAAGUGUGGUCCACUCCUAUUACGACUUAUUCACUUGUUUCUGAUUUCUAUUGAGCUCCUAUAUCAUAUGUGAUUAUUUACAGCUUUACAUACUCAGUACAUAUUUCGUACUGACGUCCCUCACGGGGGACCUGCAUUUCAUGCUGCAGGCACAGGUACCUCAACUCAUACACCGCACAAGUAGGAGCCAGGUCAUACAGCUAUUGUUGGUGAGCUCCAGUUUGCUUCGGAGCUUUCCGAGUCGGUUCCUUAUGUUUUGUUAUUGUACAUGAGUCACGUGUGGGCGGGGGUUUGUCCCGACCCUAGUUAUGUCAUGUAUAUCCUAGAGGCUUUGUAGACAUAAGGAAGGGUAAAGUCAUGGAAGUUUAUAUAGUAACGUUAUAUUUGUAUAUGUGGUGGCCCCGACGGCCAAGUAUUAUAUAUAUAUAUUUGUGCGUGUUGUGCUGAUACAGGUAAUUAGACCUUUCUAUAUGCAACGAAGUGCUGUCCAAUUUUUUUGGUGACAUGUAAGUGAAAGUACAGGUAUUUGAACGGGUUCUCCCGGGCCUUCUCGGCUUCGGGUGCCAGUCCGGCCCGAUGGGAUUUUGGGGCGUGACACAAGUGAUCAAAAAUCCACUAUGGUAUGAUGACACAUUUUUUAAAGACAAAACUCUCUUCUUAAAAGAUGAUAGUUUGUCAAUUGGAGGGGUUAGUGGUCCAAAAGAAGGGGGUGUAUGUUCUCCAAUGACCUAUUCAUUCUUGUGUGAACCCAUGCUUGAUCAAGGGCUUAAUGCUUGUAGAUCAAAGGGUGAUUCUAUAUGUGGGCACACCUUAAAUAAACUUUAUUUAAGUAACACCUUUCUAUACCACUUUUUUUGCAUAUGAUGAUACUCUUUCCUUUGAGUGGAGUAUGUUAUGUGAGAGUAGAGUGUCAAUGGGGCAAAUAGGUGUAUGAUUUUACCCAUGUUUAUGGAUUGCCUUUUCCUUUUGUCCUGGUAAUGAUUUGAAUAGUGGCGUUUGUGAUAAAAUACUUGGUUCAAAUGACAAGAAAGUUGUGGGUGAGGUUGUUGGCUUGCGUGGUGGUAAGUAUAGUAGUAACAUAUUUUUUCUCUCAUAUGAUUAUUGCUUGGUGUUAUUACUUGAUCUUAUAUGUUUAAUAAGAUAUAUUUGCCAAAUUAUGUAGAGAAUACCUUCGUAUUUAAUCUCCAAUGAUGAAUUAGGAGUAAUUCUAUUCUUUAAGAUAGUUAGUGCAUUGGAUAGAGUAUUGACUUGGAAUGACCUCAUUUAUGACAUGAAACAUAGUUAUAUGGGUUAUCAUGUGUUACAUGACUUAAAGGGAGAUUUUUUUUUCUAAAUUUAGAACCAUUGAGGACUUGUAUCAGUGGUUGCCUAAACACCAUGGUUCUUUUGAUUUGCCCCUUUGUCAAUGUUUCCUAUGUAGCCAAGUAUAUCAAUUUUUGUUGGGUGACAAACCAUUUAUGACUCAUUUUUUUGCUUGGUUAUAUGUUAAAUGUGUACACCCUUGGCAUGGCCAUAAAUUUGUUAUUGAUAAUCCUUGUGUUAAACCUCAUGCUACGAUGAUAUGUUUGUUGUUUUUCCUUCUCAUUUUUUAAAAAAGUUUGGAUUCGUGGAUGAAUUCUUUUGAUGAAGUGGAUCAUGAUUAGCUUGGAACAUAUUAGGAGGGUCUUCCAUGUAUGGAUGAUAUCUUGGAGUUUGAAGGAAGGCAUGAAGAAAUAGAUACAUAAGGUCAUUGGCAAUCAAGAUGCCAUUUGGCCAAUUAAGAAGGUCCCUUGUGAGUUAUUUGUAAAAUGGUCACAUUAGGGAGAUUUUUGUAAUAGACUUUUUCUGUAAAGGCACUGACUAUAAAUAGUUUCUUUAUCCAUUUUCAUCACUUAGAUUUGGAAAAGUGAAUUGUCUUGAAUAGAAUUGAUAUUUAGUUAUUCGAUAUUAGGGCAGUAAUUGGGUUCAAUUUCAAUUGUUAGCUUAGAUUGAGUGAUUAGGGUGUCUUUCUAAAUUGUUUGUGUUAUCUUCUUCACUUGAUUUAUCAUUAAGUUAUCAUAUUAUGGAUUCAAUCUGGUUUCUCGUCCAUUUGAUUAAGUUCUCUAUUUUUCUUAGCUUAAUUAUUAUUUGAUUAAGUCUUUCUUUCAGCACUUCUAUAAUACCCCAUAUUAUUAUUAGGUCAGUUCAUCUUCUAGUUGUAUGCAUAAGGGGCUUAAGGCCUAAAAAUUUCACUAAGUGUUGGGGAAUUAGUCAUUUAUAAGUCCUCUUAACUUCGAGGAUUUUUCGAUUGGUCUUCCCGAUCCUAAGGUGUUGGUUUUUGAGUUAAUUCAUAUUCAGGGAUGUAAGGAGCAUGUCUUAGAGAAGUUUCAAAUUUUUUGAAUGAGGUUUCGGUCAUGUUUGGAUCACAAAUCCAGAAAGUCACUGCGAUACGGCUGCGUCGCUUUAAUAUUUCCAUUUGCAUGCUCACUGCGUUGCGGUAAGGGAAAUGGAUGACUUCAAUUAGACCGCGUUGCGGUAAGUAUGUUAUGCCCAGUUAUGAAUUUAAUUGCCUGAGGGGAAAUUGUGUCUGUUCCCCUCAACCCAAAUCAUGCAUAACACGAAUUGAGACAUCAUUUAGAGCAUUAUUUGCCCUUCUUCUCUAAAUCCAUCUCAAGAAAACCCUUCCCACUUUCUCAAAAUCACCAAUUUCAAUUUUUUUCUCCCUAAAAAACCAAGGAACUCAAGCUUCAAAUUCAAGAAACCCUCAAGAAAUCUUCAAGAAAUCAUCUAUUAAGGUAUGUGGAUGUUCAUUCAUGGGUUUCUUUCAGUCUACAAAGCCGUGUCUACGUAGGGUCUUGUUUAUCGGUGUGUUGUGCACCACAUCUAUAAACAGGAGGCUAUGGACAUUUAGGAAUUGUUUCUUUUCUUCAUGUCUUAGAUCGUGCGAUAGAGCUUAUAUUGUAUAUGAAGUCAUAGUUGACCACUGAAUCAGUUUGUUUCUCUUAUUAUAGUAAUGAUGCCGGUUACCAGAAGCAAGAAUACCGGUAAGCAAGUAGAUGUGGCUGCCGGAGAGGGGACUAGUAAGUCACCCACUAUACCAGCUAAUCAAAGUGAGGCUCCAGCUGAGCAUGCAUCAGAAACUUCCUCCAGUCCGGAAGAAAUAAGGGGGAGGAGAACUAUAUCCGCAGAGCCACCUAUUAAUGUUGUUGAUCAAGAUCUUAGAAAUGCAGUGCAACUUUUGACUCGUAUAGUUGCUGGGCAAGCUCAAGGGCAAGCCAUUCCUACUGCAGGUCCUAGUGGUAUAGAUAGGGCGGCUAGCCUUCGAACACAGGAUUUUCUUAAGAUGGAUCCUCCCACUUUUACUGGAUCAGAUCUUAACGAGGACCCACAGGACUUUAUCGAUCAAAUUCAAAGGGCCUUGGAUGUUAUGCAUGUAACGGGUAGAGAGACAGUGGAGUUAGCGGCGUAUAGAUUUAAAGGGGAGGCUAUAUAUUGGUAUGAGGACUGGAAACGAUCUAGGGGUAUUGAUGCACCCCCAGCUACUUGGAAGGAGUUCAAAGAGGCAUUUCUUGAUCAUUAUCUUCCAUUCGAGAUUCGUCAGGCCCGUGCAGAUCAGUUUUUAAAUCUUCGUCAGGGGAAUAUGAGCGUGAGGGAGUACAGUCUUCGAUUUAAUUCCUUGUCGAGAUAUGCUCCUAAUGUUGUAGCUACUAUGGUUGACAGAGUUCAUCAAUAUGUGGAUAGGCUAGAUCCAUAUCUGGUUAGAGAUUGUACUAUUGCUGCUUUGAACAAAGAUAUGGACAUAGCGAGAAUCCAAGCUUUUGCACAAAAAAUGGAAGAUCAGAGGCAGAGGAGAAGAACACAGGAAUCAGAAAGAGGAUAUUCCAAGAGGGCCAGAUCUACAGGGCAGUUCAUGGCAUUCGAAAGAGGGUUCAGACCACAGUUUUCUGCUAGACCACCUAGGCCAUUAUCCUCUUAUUCUACAGCUAGUGCCCCACCACAGUUCCAAGGGUUCAGAGGAAAUCAAUUUGGGCACAGAAGUGAGAGUCAGAGUUCGCGGACAGUGGGGUACCAAGGUCAAGGGAAUAUGAGCCAAUCAAGACCUCCUCGAGAGCCAUGCAAUAAAUGUGGAAGGUAUCAUUUGGGCGCAUGUCGGCUGGGGACCAAUGUUUGCUUUUGGUGCGGUAUGUCGGGGCAUAUGAUGAGGGAAUGCCCACGAAGGGACAUAGGGGGUAUGGCACGACCUACGGGGUCAUUUGUUGCAUCAUCAUCAUCGAUGCCUUAUUCAGGAAGGGGUGCACAGCCAAUGGGUCGUGUUAGAGGUGAUAGAGGAGCCACGAGUUCUAGCGGGGCUCAAAAUCGUACGUAUGCUCUAGCAGAUCGACAGAAUUUAGAGGCUUCUCCAGAUGUGGUUACGGGUAUGUUGGCUAUAUUUUCAUUCAAUUUAUAUGCCUUAAUUGAUCCCGGUUCUACAUUAUCUUAUGUUACUCCAUUGGUUGCUGGAAAGUUCGAAAGAAUACCCGAACUGUUAGUUAAGCCAUUUGAAGUGUCCACACCGGUCGGGGAAUCUAUUAUAGCUAGAAGGGUUUAUCGAAACUGCAUAGUAACUGUUUGUGGUCGUGAUACGAUGGCUGAUCUUGUGGAGUUAGAAAUGGUAGAUUUUGAUGUUAUAAUGGGUAUGGACUGGUUGGCGUCUUGUUAUGCCACAAUUGAUUGCUGCACGAAAAAGGUAUAUUUCCAUUUUCCAAAUGAAUCAGUCCUUGAAUGGAAAGGUGAAAUUAGCGUGCCAAGAGGUAGAUUUAUUUCUUAUUUUAAGGCGAGAAGAAUGAUUUCCAAGGGAUAUAUAUAUCAUUUAGUUAGAGUAAGGGAUACAGAAGCGGAGCCACCAACUCUUCACGCUGUUCCGGUGGUAAAUGAAUUUUCUGAUGUAUUUCCUGAAGAUCUUCCAGGUUUGCCUCCUGAACGAGAAGUAGAGUUUGGUAUUGAUGUAAUACCAGGCACCCAACCAAUCUCCAUUCCUCCGUAUAGAAUGGCCCCAGCAGAAUUACGAGAAUUGAAAGAGCAAUUGAAAGAUUUGCUAGAAAAGGGGUUCAUUAGGCCUAGUAUUUCCCCUUGGGGAGCACCAGUGUUAUUUGUACGCAAAAAGGAUGGCUCGCUGAGGAUGUGUAUUGAUUAUCGGCAAUUGAAUAAGGUGACUAUUAAGAAUAAAUAUCCUCUCCCAAGAAUUGAUGAUUUAUUUGAUCAGUUACAGGGCGCCAAGUGCUUUUCUAAGAUUGAUUUGAGGUCAGGUUACCACCAAGUGAGGGUCAAAGAAAAAGAUAUACCCAAAACAGCUUUCCGAACAAGGUAUGGUCAUUAUGAGUUUCUAGUUAUGUCAUUUGGGCUAACAAAUGCACCCGCAGCUUUUAUGGAUUUGAUGAAUAGGGUUUUUAAGCCAUUCCUGGAUGUAUUUGUGAUAGUUUUUAUAGAUGAUAUUCUAGUUUAUUCUAGAUCAGAAGAGGACCAUGCCAAUCACUUACGACAGGCAUUGCAGACUCUUCGUGAUUGUAAGCUUUAUGCAAAGUUCUCUAAAUGUGAGUUUUGGUUAAAGUCGGUGGCAUUUUUGGGUCAUAUUGUAUCUAGUGAAGGGAUAAAGGUUGAUGCUCAAAAGAUAGAGGCUGUGAAGAACUGGCCAAGGCCCACAACGCCUACGGAGAUUCGUAGUUUUCUUGGGUUGGCCGGUUAUUAUAGAAGGUUUGUCAAAGACUUUUCUUCCAUUUCAGCACCCUUAACCAAGCUAACCCAUAAAGCAUCCAAAUUCCAAUGGAAUGAUGCCUGUGAGAAGAGUUUUCAAGAUUUAAAGAACAAGUUGAUUUCUACACCCGUGUUGGUACUACCAGAAGGCACCGAAGGGUAUACAGUGUAUUGUGAUGCUUCCAGAAUUGGUUUAGGAUGUGUAUUGAUGCAGCAUGGUAAGGUAAUAGCAUAUGCUUCUAGACAAUUACGGCCACAUGAGAAAAAUUAUCCUACACACGAUCUUGAGCUGGCAGCGGUUAUUUUUGCUUUAAAGAUAUGGCGCCACUACUUAUAUGGGGUUCACGUUGAUAUAUAUACUGACCAUAAGAGCUUGCAAUAUAUUUUUAAUCAGAAGGAUCUAAAUUUAAGGCAGCGGAGAUGGCUUGAACUAUUAAAGGACUAUGAUGUUGAUAUCUUGUACCAUCCAGGGAAAGCAAAUGUGGUAGCUGAUGCGUUAAGUCGUAAGGCUAUGAUGGCGCCUAUAGAAAGGCAAGGGAUGGUUAAAGAUCUUCACCAGUUAGCUAGUUUGGGAGUUCGCCUUCUUGAAACUCCGAAUAAAGAGCUUAUCGUACAUAAUGCUGCGGAAUCUUCAUUAGUAGCUGAAGUGAAAGAGAAGCAAUAUGCAGAUCCUAUUUUAUUACAUCUUAAGGAGAACGUUCAGAGUGGUGCGACCAAGGCAUUUGAGCUUACGCGAGAAGGAGUACUUCAGUGCCAAAACCGAUUGUGUGUGCCGGAUAUAGACGGGCUAAGAAAGAAGAUUAUGACAGAGGCACAUUUUUCAAGGUAUUCCAUUCAUCCAGGAUCAACCAAAAUGUAUCAAGAUUUGAAAGAUAUGUAUUGGUGGAAUGACAUGAAGAAGAGCAUUGCAGAAUUUGUAGCUGAAUGUCCAAAUUGUCAAAGAGUUAAAGUUGAGCACCAAAAACCCGGAGGCUAUAUGCAAUGCAUAGAUCUUCCAAUUUGGAAGUGGGACAUGAUCAACAUGGAUUUUGUUACAGGUUUGCCUCGUACAGCUCGAAAAUUUGAUUCUAUAUGGGUGAUUGUGGAUAGGCUUACUAAAUCCGCACAUUUCUUACCCGUUAAGACCACUUACACAGUUGAAGAAUAUUCGAAGCUGUAUGUUAAAGAAAUAGUCCGAUUACAUGGAGUGCCAACUUCUAUUAUAUCGGAUCGGGGAACUCAAUUUACUGCAAACUUUUGGAAGUCUUUCCAACGGGGUUUGGGAACACAAGUGAAUCUGAGUACAGCUUUUCACCCUCAGACGGAUGGACAAGCAGAGCGCACCAUUCAAACACUUGAAGAUAUGCUACGAGCAUGUGUUAUAGAUUUUAAAGGCAGCUGGGAUGAUCAUUUACCUCUUAUUGAGUUUGCCUACAAUAAUAGCUAUCAUUCAAGUAUCAAAAUGGCACCAUAUGAAGCUUUAUAUGGGAGAAAGUGUAGAUCACCAAUAGGAUGGUUCGAAGCGGGUGAAACUCUUAUGUUCGGACCGGAUCUUGUGUAUCAAGCCAUAGAAAAAGUCAAGGUGAUACAACAACGGCUAAAAACAGCCCAAAGUCGUCAUAAAUCAUAUGCAGAUAUUCGGAGAAGAGGGCUGGAAUUCUCUAUUGGAGAUUGGGUAUUUUUAAAGGUAUCACCAAUGAAAGGGGUUAUGAGAUUUGGUAAAAAAGGGAAACUAAGCCCACGUUACAUAGGGCCAUAUAAGAUUACCAAGAGGGUCGGACAAGUUGCAUAUGAAUUAGAGCUACCCCAGGAACUUUCAAUGGUUCAUCCAGUGUUUCAUGUGUCAAUGCUUCGAAAAUGCAUAGGUGACCCCUCUCGUAUCACUCCUAUAGAAGAUGUACAGGUCACAGAGGAUCUUACUUAUGAAGAGGUACCGGUUGCUAUUCUAGAUCGCCAAGUUAAAAAGUUAAGGAACAAAGAAAUGGCAUCAGUAAAGGUACUUUGGAGAAAUCAACAAAGGGAAGAGAUUACAUGGGAAGCUGAGGAAGCAAUGAAAUCUAAGUACCCUCAUUUGUUCAAAGAUGAAGAGGAAGUUCAAGAAACGGAGUUAGAACAUUAACAAGUAAGUUUUUGUUUAUAUAUGCAUAGUAUUUAUGUGAUGAUGUGAAUGUUAAUGGUGGACUUGAACUUGUUUCGGCUAAAUAACUACAUUCACAUUCGAGGACGAAUGUCCUUAAGGGGGGAAGGAUGUAACACCCCGUACUUAAUUACGUGCAUUAGUCAUUGUUAUAUGUGUUGGGGUAUAUGUAUUGAUCCUAAGUUAGGUAUAUAUGAGUUUAAGUAUGAGUAUUGAUUAUUUUGAGAUGGUUUCAAGUGUAUAGUUUGAUUAUAGGUGUAUAGGAAUCGACUUUAUUUAUAUCGGAAUUUUCCCGUCGAUGGUUCCAUACGAAGGUUAUUGAAUAAGCUUUCCAACGAUAUAAAGAUUUCCAAAAACGGAUAAGUUUCGGAUAUAAGCGAGCUCGUUCGAAACUUUAAAACGGUGGCCGGGAUGUGAACAGUAAAAUGUGCAGGAAACUACUGAGGCCUGCCAGUUUUUUGGGUCAACUUUGAACGAUCAUAACUCCCUCAAUAUAAUGAACUGGUUGAGCUACCAUAUAUCAAAAGAAAGAUCUUUGAGUCUUCUUUCCAAUGAAAUUGGUUUCAUCCAAAUCCAACAUCUGAGUAAGGAGUUAUACUCGUUUUACUUCAGCCUCUCAAAACAGAUUUUUAGGGUCAACUUCAAACGAUCAUAACUACUUGUACAGGACGAACUGGGUGGAUUAAUUUAUAUUAAAUGAAAUACCUUUGAAUUAUCUUUCUAACGAUACCAAUUUCACCCAAAUCCGAUAUCGGAGCAAAGAGUUAUGGCCGAUUUACUUUAGCCUAUCAAAACAGUCCACCAUGGACAGAUUCGGAUUUACUUAAAUUUUUAAGGGCAAUAUGGUCAUUUUCCAUCACCUCUUGAACGAAAAUUGGUCAUUAUAUACAUAUACUUAGCCUCAUAUCCAUUAUUUAUCAUCCAUUAUUGAAAACUAAGAAACCCUAGCCAAAUUUCAACUCCAAUUAUCUUGUGAUUCAACCGUAGAAAAUCCAAAUUGAUUCCGUAGUUGUGUUCACCGUCUCAAGGGCUUCGAGAAGCACCCCUUAUUUGUGCCAACAGGACUUCGAAAUCAAAAGGGCCAUUUUUUUGGUAAGGAUGUAAAUUAUGUUGGUGUUAUUUAUAUGGAUAUGUAUAUAUAUAUAUGCAUGUGAGCAUAAGAAGUAUGUUAUUUGAUUGUUGUUGAAAGAUGAUUGGAAAUGAUGUUGGAUUAUUCUUGUGCAUGGUUGGAUUAUGUUAAAUUGUGAAGGAAUUUGGGGUGAUGAUGUGGUAUUGAUGAUGUGGUAUUGAAAUGAUGAUUAUAUAUAUAUACACACAUAAACCUAUUGUUCAAGUUGGUUUUUGGAAUGUUUUGCAAAUAUUGGUAGUAUGGAAUUAUGGAAGAGAAUUGUGGUGUUGGGUUGCUAAUACUAGAUGCCAAACAUUUCAUUGUAGAUAAGUGAUUUGUAAAGGCGGGAAGUUGUGUUGAAUUGGUAUCUGAAUCUACAACGAGGUAUGUAAAGCAUACUCUAACAAUGUUCUUUGGCAUGAAAACACCAAUGUUCCAUCAAGUAAGAUUCCGAGGUUGUCCAAAAACAUGUAUUGUUCUACGUUACCAACGAAGUUGUUUCCAUUCUAUAAAGUGUCAAAAUGUUUCAUUGAUAUACCAAAAGGCUCUUAUUUCAUUGUUGUGAUAUUGAUGAUUCUGAAACACAUUGUUGAUGUACCAAUGAGUCUUUAUUACAUCGUUAUUGUAUAGAAGGUCUAUUACUUGGUUCCUAUUGAUGUAUCAUUGUUUCAAAGUAUCAAAAAUGUGGUGGCGACCGAAAUAACAAUCUCAAAGAUUAAUUGAACUAAGUGAUGGGAGUUCUCUCUUAUCGGGUGGUAUCCCAGGGGCAUAAGCCUAGCAUGGGUCGAUCCCUAUUUCAUGUGUUUAUGGGUGGUAUCCCAGGGGCAUAAGCCUAGCAUGGGUCGAUCCCAGUUGAUAUGUACUGGAGGCAUCCUAAUGGUCACAGUACAGUACAGUAAUGAUUACAAAGACGAUAAGAACGAAGGUAAAGUGAUUGAAUAAAUACAAUGUACAGGUUGUCACAAGUUCUAGUAAGUGUGGUCCACUCCUAUUACGACUUAUUCACUUGUUUCUGAUUUCUAUUGAGCUCCUAUAUCAUAUGUGAUUAUUUACAGCUUUACAUACUCAGUACAUAUUUCGUACUGACGUCCCUCACGGGGGACCUGCAUUUCAUGCUGCAGGCACAGGUACCUCAGCUCAUACACCGCACAAGUAGGAGCCAGGUCAUACAGCUAUUGUUGGUGAGCUCCAGUUUGCUUCGGAGCUUUCCGAGUCGGUUCCUUAUGUUUUGUUAUUGUACAUGAGUCAUGUGUGGGCAGGGGUUUGUCCCGACCCUAGUUAUGUCAUGUAUAUCCUAGAGGCUUUGUAGACAUAAGGAAGGGUAAAGUCAUGGAAGUUUAUAUAGUGAUGUUAUAUCUGUAUAUGUGGUGGCCCCGACGGCCAAGUAUUAUAUAUAUAUAUAUAUUUGCGCGUGUUGUGCUGAUACAGGUAAUUAGACCUUUCUAUAUGCAACGAAGUGCUGUCCAAUUUUUUGGUGACAUGUAAGUGAAAGUACAGGUAUUUGAACGGGUUCUCCCGGGCCUUCUCGGCUUCGGGUGCCAGUCCGGCCCGAUGGGAUUUUGGGGCGUGACAUUAUGAUUGUUAUUGGGCCUAAGGACGAGUGAUAUUAGGCCCGACGAUAAGUUUAUUUAGUGAUCACUGGACCUAGGUUAUACUCACUGGCAAGAGUAUGACGCCUCUCCCCAACGUGAGGUCUCUUCCUUAGAAGGACAAAACGUUAGACUCUAUGUAGCUCGCAUGGUUUAUAUCGAUUAAGAGAACCUCCCUUGACAUUUAAACUUCGAGAUCAGUUACCUCCCUAAACUAAAGUAUUUUCCAUUGAGAUAAGAUAUUCUCCUUUAAAACUAAAAUACUUUCCCUUGAUAUGAGUAUUUUUCCCUAAAGCUUGAAAUGAGAUAUUUUCCUAACGUGAAUGAAAUGCCUUCAAGUAUGUUCCAAAGUUAUAUGAUUUCGAAUUCCAAGUAUUNNNNNNNNNNNNNNNNNNNNNNNNNNNNNNNNNNNNNNNNNNNNNNNNNNNNNNNNNNNNNNNNNNNNNNNNNNNNNNNNNNNNNNNNNNNNNNNNNNNNNNNNNNNNNNNNNNNNNNNNNNNNNNNNNNNNNNNNNNNNNNNNNNNNNNNNNNNNNNNNNNNNNNNNNNNNNNNNNNNNNNNNNNNNNNNNNNNNNNNNNNNNNNNNNNNNNNNNNNNNNNNNNNNNNNNNNNNNNNNNNNNNNNNNNNNNNNNNNNNNNNNNNNNNNNNNNNNNNNNNNNNNNNNNNNNNNNNNNNNNNNNNNNNNNNNNNNNNNNNNNNNNNNNNNNNNNNNNNNNNNNNNNNNNNNNNNNNNNNNNNNNNNNNNNNNNNNNNNNNNNNNNNNNNNNNNNNNNNNNNNNNNNNNNNNNNNNNNNNNNNNNNNNNNNNNNNNNNNNNNNNNNNNNNNNNGUGAGUCAUUACUUAUUACAUGCAUGAUUUGAUUAAAGAGUAUUGAUGUUGUUUUAUAUAAAUGCAUGCACCCCUACAUACUCAGUACAUUCCCAAGUGUUGAUCAAUAUAUACGUCUAUGUGCUACAUUGUCUUAUAAUGUAGGUUCAGGUUUUAGGUGCUGAGUCCCAUCCUCAUGAUUCAAGGACCUAUCCUCAGACAUUUCUGCGUUUGAGACUCUGUUUUUACUUUCAGUUCAUUUUGGUCAGUUAGGGACCUGUCCCAAUGGCUCUCUAGUUCAUGGAUUAGUAGAGGCUUUGUCAGACUAGUUAUCAGAUUGUGGUUGUGUUGAGGUUUCCGGUAUUGCUUGGUCGUUUGGAUCGAGCAUUUUCUCUGUAUUUCCUUUCAUAUGAUAUGACUAUGCUAGUGUUUGAAUUAUUUCAUCUUGAAAUGAGUGUUAUUAGUAGAAACAGACUCAAAGGGUUUGCUUGGGGCUACUUGUAGCCUCAAGCACUGUGUGAUGUCCCGGGAGGUGAGUUCGGGUCAUUACAAACUUGGUAUCAAAGCUAGGUUUUAAAAGAGUCUUAGGGAGUCUGACAAGCCGCGUUGAGUAGAUUCUUGAUCAUCGGUGUGUAGCGCACCACAUCUAUGAGCAAGAGGCUACAAGAUGUUUUAUAAAAAAGUUAUUUCUUUCUUUCGGAUUCUAUCGUGCCUACAUUUGUCCCUUUUAUCUAAUAAUUCAUGCUCUUCUAUUUCAGAAAAUUCCUCUACGAAGAGCGAAUGCCCGCAGGAAUGAUGAUGAGCAGCCCCUACCUGUUGAUCCUUUGAAUGAGAUUGUGUCUCAUGCUGAGUUUUGGGCGGCCUUUCAGGCGUUAUCCCAAGCAGUCACCACUAAUGUUCGGGCCAAUAAUCAGGCCGCAGUUGCUAAUCAACAGGGAGGUGAUGUAGCUACGGCUAGGAUCUAUGAUUUCAUGCGGAUGAAUCCGCCAGAGUUUUAUGGGUCCAAGGAAGGUGAGGACCCAUAAUUGUACCUGGAAGAGGUGAGAAAGAUCACGCAGGUGAUGCAUGUUUCUAAGGAAGAAAGUGUUAAGUUGGUGUCUUACAGGUUGAAGGACAUACCAUAUGAACGGGUUGUAUCGUGGAGGAAGGGCAGAGGUAAGGAUGUUGCUCCUAUGACUUGGCAGGUAUUCCAAGAUAUAUUCUUGGACAAGUUCUUUUCACUUGAGAUAAGGGAGGCAAGGAUUGAAGAGUUUAUAAACUUGAGGCAGGGUUCUAUGACUGUUAAGGAGUACAGCUUGAAGUUCAACCAGUUGGCCAAGUAUGCUCCUAGUUUGAUUUCUAAUACCCAGGCUAGUAUGAGCAAGUUUGUGACUGGUGUUUCUGGGUUGUACUAAAGGAGUGUAGGAUUGCGAUGUUGCAUAGGGAUAUGGAUCUGGCUAGGUUGAUAAUGUAUGCCUAGCAGAUAGAGGUAAAUAAGAUUAGGGAGAGAGAUUUAGUGAGGGGUAACAUGAGGGCUAGAUAUGAGCAGCAUGAGUUUAGCCAGCCUAGGUUCCAUGAAGGAACCAUCCUCAGUUUCAGAGGCGUCUGUCUAUGCCAGUGCCUUCAACAGCUAGUGCUUCCGCACCUAGAAGCAGGAAGGAGCAAGGGGGCAGAUCUUUUAUGUCUAGGUCGUAGAACAGUGUUGGUAACAGGCCCCGCUAUCCUCUCUGUGCUAAGUAUGGUAGGAGUUAUCUCGAGGAGUGUUUUGUAGAUCUGAGGGGUUGUUUUGGUUGUGGCAAGCAGGGCCACAGACUUAGAUAUUGUCCUCACGCUAGACAGGGGAACAGAGAUGCCCGACCUCAGGCACAGGCUACUAGUGCACCAGCUUCUAUACCCUAUCCCGCCUCUGCUUAGGUCACUUUAUCUAGCACUGCUAGCGGUCAGCGCCACAAUAAAUUCUAUGCCUUACCAUCCUGUCAGGAGCAGGAGGACUCUCCUGAUGUUGUUACCGGUAUGCUUCAUGUCUUUUACUUUGAUGUCUAUGUGUUGUUGGACCCCGGGUCAAGUCUCUCUUAUAUGACCACAGUUGUAGCUAUGAAUUUCAAAAUGGGUCCCGAAAAUAUUCCUGAUCCUUUCCUAGUUUCUACACCCAUCAAGGAGUCAGUUAUUGCUAAAUAAGUGUAUAGAGAUUGUCCUGUUACUGUUCUUCAUAGAGUCAUACUUGCUGAUUUGAUAGAGUUAGACAUGGUGGAUUUCGACCUUAUUUUGGGAAUGGAUUGGCUUCAUUCUUGUUAUGCAUCUAUAGACUAUCGUACCCAUAUGGUCAAGUUUCAGUUUCCUGAUGAACCAACUUUUGAGUGAUCCAGGAGUUCGGUAUCUCCCAAGAGUCAUUUUAUCUCCUAUUUCAAAGCCAGAAAGAUAAUAUCCAAAGAUUGCAUUUAUCACUUAGCUAGAGUCAAAGACACUAAGUCCGAGGCUCCAACUAUUCAGUCAGUCAAUAUUGUUAAUGAGUUUCCAGAUGUUUUUUUGAAAGAUCUCCCAGGGUAACCUCCCAAUUGAGAGAUAGAAUUCGGGAUUGACCUUUUUCCUGAUACUCGGCCUAUUUCUAUUCUUCCAUACCAUAUGGCACCUGCUGAGCUUAAGGAGUUAAAAGAGCAACUCAAAUAUCUUUUAGACAAAGGUUUCAUAAGGCCCAGUAUUUCUCCUUAGAGCGCGCCUAUCUAAUUCGUGCGAAAGAAAGACGGUUCUUUGCGUAUAUGCAUUGACUAUCGUCAGCUUAACAAGGUCAUAGUAAAAAAUAAGUAUCCUCUUCCGAGAAUUGAUGACCUAUUUGAUCAGUUGCAAGAUGCAAGUUAUUUCUCUAAGAUAAACCUUAGAUCCGGCUAUCAUCAACUUAAAGUGAGGGAAUAUAAUAUUCCACAGACAGGCUUCCGAACCCGCUAUGGUCACUUUGAGUUCUAGUCAUGUCCUUCGGGCUAACCAAUGCCCCAGCCGCCUUCAUAGACCUCAUAAAUCGAGUGUUCAAUCCAUAUCUUGAUAUGUUUGUCAUUGUCUUCAUAGAUGACAUCCUUGUAUACUCCCAUAAUGAAAAUAACCAUGUGAAUCACCUUAGAGUUGUCUUACAAACUCAUUGAGAUCACCAGUUGUUCUCUAAAUUUAGUAAGUGUAAAUUUUGGCUAAGGUCUGUAGCCUUUCUAGGUCAUAUUAUUUCAACCGAAGGUAUUAAAGUUGACCCUCAAAAGAUAGAAGCUGUAAGAAAUUGGCCUAGACCUAUCUCUCUAUCUGACAUUAGAAGUUUCUUGGGUCUAGCGAGCUACUACCACUGUUUUGUUGAAGGUCUCUCUUCAAUUGUGUCUCCUAUGACCUGGUUGACCCAAAAGAAAGAUAAGUUCCAGUGGUCAGAUUCCUGUAAGAAGAGUUUUUAGGAGUUGAAGAAUUGACUUACUUCAGCCCUUGUGUUGACUUUGCCUGAUGGUACAGAUGGUUUUGUGGUGUAUUGUGAUACCUCUAGAAUUGGUUUGGGUUGUGUGUUGAUACAAAUUGGUAAGGUUAUAGCCUAUGCCUCUAGGCAGUUGAAGCCGCAUGAGAAGAAUUGCCCAACCCAUGAUCUUGAGUUAGCUGUUAUGAUCUUUACUUUGAAAACCUGGAGACACUAUCUUUAUGGUGUUCAUAUUGAUGUGUUUACUGAUCAUAAGAGCCUGCAAAAUGUAUUUACUCAAAGGGAGUUGAAUCUUAGGCAGAGGAGGUGGUUGGAGUUGUUAAAAAACUAUGAUAUGAGUGUGAUGUAUCACCUGCGCAAGGCCAACGUAUUGGCGAAUGCCCUUAGCAGAUUGUCUAUGGGUAGUCUUGCUCAUGUAGAGGAAGGGAAAAAGAGCUAUCUCGUGAUGUGCAUUGUCUGGAUAGAUUGGGUAUAAGGUUACUUGAUUCAGCCGAGGGGAGUACGUUGGUGCAAAGUAGUUCCGAAUCCUCUUUUGUUUCGGAAGUGAAGGAGAAGCAAGACAAGGAUCCUAGUUUGGUCGAACUGAAGGAGUUAGUUCAAGACCAAAAGGUAGAGGUUUUCUCCUAAGGGGAAGAUGGCGUGUUGAGAGUGCAAGGUAGAUUGUGUAUUCCAUGUGUUAAUGAUCUAAGGCAGAGGAUUAUGGCUGAAGCACAUGGCGCGCGGUAUUCUAUGCAUCCCGGCACCGCCAAGAUGUACCACAACUUGCGGGAAAUUUAUUGAUGGAAUCGUAUCAAUAAGGAUAUAGCUGAGUUCGUAGCAAAGUGUACAACGCGCCAACAGGUUAAAGUAGAGAACCAAAGACCUAGUAGUGUGAUGCAAAAGUUUGGUAUACCCACUUGGAAGUGGAAGGUGGUGAAUAUGGACUUCAUGAACGGGUUGCCUCUUUCGCGUCAUCAUCAUGACUCUAUUUGGGUUUUUGUGGAUAGGAUGACUAAGUCCGCACAUUUCUUUCCGGUGCUCACAUCUUAUACAACUGAGGAUUAUGCUAGAUUGUAAUCCGGGAGAUUGUCAGGCUGCAUGGAGUUCCCUCCUCCAUUAUUUCAGAAAGGGGCACUCAAUUUACUUUUCAGUUUUGGAGGGCGUUUUAGCAGGGUCUUGGUACCCAAGCUCUUUUGAGUUCUGCUUUUCAUCCGCAGACAGAUGGUCAGGCUGAGAGGACCAUUCAGACCCUGGAAGAUAUGUUGAGGGCAUGUGCUUUUGAUUUCAAUGGUAGUUGGGAUGAGCAUUUUCCAUUGAUAGAGUUUGUCUAUAAUAAUAGUUACCAUGCUAGCAUCGGGAUGGCACCAUUUGAGGCCUUGUAUGGUAGGAUAUGUAGGUUACCCAUAGGGUGGUUUAAAGUGGGUAAAGCUUCUACAAUUAGGCCUGAUGCAGUAUUUAAAGCUAUGGAGAAAGUUAAGUUGAUUAGAGAGAGGUUGAAGACCUCUCAGAGUCGCCAAAAGUCAUAUGCCGAUGUAAGGAGAAGAGAGCUUGAGUUUGAGGUGGGUGAUUUGGUGUACUUGAAGAUUUCACCCAUGAAAGGGGUGAAGGGGUUUGGUAAAAAGGGAAAGCUUAGUCACCGUUAUGUUGGCCCGUAUAAAGUCAUGAGCUGUGUUGGUAAGGUGGCCUAUGAGGUUGAGUUGCCCACAGAGUUGUCAGUUGUUCAUCCUGUUUUUCAUGUCUCUAUGCUUAAGAAGCAUAUUGGUGAUUCCGUUGUAGUGGAUCCCUCAUAUAGUGCUGAUAUUCAGAACAGUCUUUCCUUCGAUGAGAUUCCUGUUGAGAUCCUAGAUUUUCAGAUCCAUAGACUAAGGAACAAAUAAGUUCCCUUGGUUAAAGUUUUAUGGCGGAACCAAUCUGUUGAGGGUGCUACUUGGGAGGCAGAAACAGACAUGUGAGCCAAGUAUCCGCACCUCUUUUCCGCGAGUUCAGAUCAAGCCGAAGGUAUUAUUCUUCCUUAACUUAGCCCUUUGAAUCUAUAGUGCAGCUAUGUAUCUAUUUUUGCAUGAGUUCUUGUAAUUUCUAAUGUAUUCAAGAGUUUAGAGUGAUUCAACUAUGUGUACUCUAUUUUCUCUGUGUUGCUAGUCCAACCAGUGACAUUCGAGGACGAAUGUUUCCAAGGGGGAGAUAUUGUAAGACCCCCCGCAAAUUUCUCUCAUAGAAUGAACCUUAGGCGUGUAAAGUGAGGCGUGAUUCCGGCCCUAAAAGAUUGAGAAAUGACUUCCUAAGUGAGUUUCAUAUUAACCACAUAGAAUUUCCCCAAUUUUGACUUUUUAUUACAUGGAAAAUUCGAUAAGCUUUCCGUAGAUAUAAGGUUCGCCUAAAUCCGAUAUCCAUGUAAGAAAUUAUGGCUAAUUUAAGUCCUAGUCGUAAAAUAGCGUCAUUUUAGUGCUUGGCGCUUCGCGGAGAGGGUCUAUUUGACAAUUGUCAAUUUCCAGUGGAACUCUGCGAUAGUGGCGCAUCACGGAGGACCCCAAUUUCCCAAUCGUCAAUUUCCAGUGGCCUGGCGCGAUUGUGACACGUCGCACUGAAAUUUCAGGUCUCCACUAGUGGGACAAUGCGAUGGCUCCGCAUCGUGGUGACUACCAACUUCCCAUUUGUCAAUUUCUAGUGAUCUCCACGAUAGUGGCGUGUUGCGGUGGCCCAUGAAAUUGGGUUCCCAGUUCAAUUUUCUAGCUUCGUACAGAAGUUAAAAAAGGCAUUUUGGACUUUUUCCAAGCCUCUUAAACCGUGCAAACACCAAAUCAAGGUCAUUUACAAGCAUUCUAUGAAGUCUCUCUCAAGUUUUAUCUCAACAGAAAACCCUAAGUAUCCAAAACCUCUUCCAAGAAUCUCAAAAAUCUACCAUAGAUUUUCUAAAUUGAGUCAAGAUUCAAGGUUCCCAAGUCAAGGGCUUUAAGAGAGUACAAAUAGAGUUCCAACAGAGAGAGUUCAUCCAAAACUUCUAAUUCAAGGUAUGUGGGGUUUUGAACAAGGGUAAUUCUUUCACCUCGUGCCCAAAGGCUUAUUUAAACUACAAUUCUCUGCAACUUAUGACAUUUUACAUGAAAUUGAAUUGGGGGUUUUCACCCAUUGUUAUUGGUUGCAAGAUUUUGAUGUUUUCCUUGAACUGAGAGUCUAAUGGCAUGAUUUUUACAUGUUUUCUUGAGAAAUUGCAGCUAGGUCUAUACCCCAUGAUUUUAAUCCUAGAGAAAUUAAUAGUUGAAAUGUUUGAAACAUUGAAGUAUGUUGAGAUUUUGAGAUAAAUUGCUGAAAUUUCUAGAUUUCUAUAUGAGUUAUGAAUCUAUAUGCUAUCUAUUAUGCUUUUGAUGAGUUUUAACUUAGGGUUGAACUAUGGGUUAUUAAUCUCUACUUGAGACUUGAGAUUUUAUGAACUAUUGUGCUAUAAGCUCCCAUGAUUUGAGUAUUCUGAGAUUAUUGAGAAAUGUUUUGACCUAAUGGUCAUUAAGUUUUGAAAUCCACUCUACUAUAUCUGAUUACAGAUUUGAUUACUGGGUUCUUAUUGAACCAUGAGAUUAUUCUAAAGUGGAUUUUCAUGAGAUGAGCGAGAUAAACUAAAGGGAGUAGUAUUUAGCACCGAGUGGGUAAAUUACUACGGUUUCUUACCCCAAAAUUACUUUCCACCGUAGGUUGAGCCUGAGGCCGAGUAUAUGAUUGUUAUUGGGCCUAAGGAUGAGUUGAUAUUAGGCCUGACGACGAGUUUAUUUAGUGAUCACUGGACCUAGGUUAUACUCCCUGGCAAGAGUAUGACGCCUCUCCCCAACUUGAGGUCUCUUCCUUAGAAGGACAAAACGUUGGACUCCAUGUAGCUCGCAUGGUUUAUGUCGAUUAAGAGAACCUCCCUUGACAUUUAAACUUCGAAAUCAGUUACCCUCAAAACUAAAGUAUUUUCCAUUGAGAUAAGAUAUUCUCCUUUAAAACUAAAAUACUUUCCCUUGAUAUGAGUAUUUUUCCCUAAAGCUUGAAAUGAGAUAUUUUCCUAACGUGAAUGAAAUGCCUUCAAGUAUGUUCCAAAGUUAUAUGAUUUCGAAUUCCAAGUAUUUGAGUUCAAAAGAGUUAUGAGUUCUUGAGCAUUGAAGAAGUUUUACUCUCUAUGAGAUAUAUGCAUGAGUUGAAAGUAUUGUUUAAAGUUUCCUUUAGCCUUGAGUAAUGAGAAUAAGACAAGAGUACAAAUUUCAAAUCUGAAAGUAUAAUGACUCACAAGAUUGUGUUACAUGUUCCAUUUUACAUGAUUCAUGAGCUUCACAUUUUAUACUUAAUAUAAUGACUCACAAGAUUGUGUUACAUGUUCCAUUUUACAUGAUUCAUGAGCUUCACAUUUUAUACUUAUUCAAGACAUGUGAGUCAUUACUUAUUACAUGAUUUGAUUAAAG